GGGAUAAGACAUGUUGGAGCUUAGACUGUUCAGGCCAAUAUUUUACUCAAUUACGUCAGGCCACAUUGUCAGUGUCUCUACUGGUAGCAUGAGGCGGGUGAUACCUGGACCUUACAAAAGAUCUUUCAAAUCAGCUCGGCAACGGCACCCUGACUGCUAUUAGAUAUCAAGAUGAAAUCCUUGGACCCAUUGUCAGGACCCUACACUGUUGCAGUGGAUCCUGGCUUCCUUGUGGUGCACAACAGUGCAUGAGGAUCUUGACUGUAUCCCAGACAUGACCUCAACCUCCUGCCGCCUCCUAAAGUUAACAGAAGGAUGCAACAUACACACACACUGAUUAAUGCAUGGACAGCUGGUUUAUGUCUUCGUAGCUCCUGUGGCUGAUGGAGUGCUUUCCCACGGUGGUCAGCAGAACAAGAACCCCCAAAUACAUUUGGUUCUGUCGGGUGGGCGGAUUAG